GCCUGGAACAGAGUAACCCAAAAAAAUGGCGUCGGCCAGUAAUCCACAAUCCCUGUUCAAUGUUUUCGUCUACGGCAGUCUUUUAGCUGACGACGUCGUUAUUGCUCUCCUCAAACGGGUCCCAUCUUCUUCACCUGCGAUUCUCCACAACUUCCAUAGGUUUAGCAUCAAAGGGCGUGUUUAUCCAGCCAUUCUACCUGUAGAAAACAAGAAAGUUAAUGGCAAGGUUCUUUCAGGCAUCACUAUUCCGGAAUUGGAUAUCUUGGAUAAAUUUGAGGACGUUGAGUAUGAAAG
rnacentral:misc_RNA from 1 species